CGGUGUUUGAAAAGCGGAUGAGGAGAGUGCAGAACUCCUUCCACCCGCUGGAGCUGCUUCCUUCCCAAAGACUGUAGGGGACACCGAGGCACUUCAGUGCCACGGAUGAAAGCCACGAGUCCCUUAGUCCCAGGGUCGUCCAGGCUGUUGCGUUCCGCCAAGGAGUUACUCGGAAUGUUGCGGAGCAGAGAGGUGAGGAAAGGAGAGCGACGAAGGCCACUUUGGUUUGCUUCCCCAGGAGUGGGUGCCCUAUUAAUAAGGAGGUCUCUUGGGCUCAGCCGCCCCUCUCCCUACCCAGCGAGUCCCUGGUUAACAUUUGCCACGGAUCUGCUCACCUUUGGGGCGCUCUCCCGGCGCGACCAGCGUGCUCCCGCAGCCCCGGCCGCCCUCAGGAGUUGAGAGUGCGGUGCCCCGCCGGCGGGAGCGCCAAGGAUUGCUUCUUCCAGACGCGGCACAGCAGGGAGCGGGGGAUCCGGCAACCCGGGCGCAGACGCAGCUGCUGUCGGUUGCGCUCGGCUCUCCGGCCAGGCCCCUGCGGAUCUCCGGAGCUCUCUCCUGCCCGGCACGAUCUGCGGCGCCGGCCGGCCCAAGCGCUUUAUAAGGCGCGGACCGCCGCUUUGAUCCGCCCACGUCAGCGCGCCGAAUCCCCACCCGGUGGCUCGCGCGGGGCGGGGGCGGGGUCCCCAUGACGCCUCGGACCCGCGGCGCCCGCUCGGCGCUCCCGGACACUUUGCACCCUAUUGCCGUACGGAAGGGAAUUUGCUCGCCACGGCUAGUGUUGAAAGCAUGCCUGUUGUGUGCCAGCGGCGCGCGGGGCUCAGGGAAGGCCCACCUCCGAAGUUAGUAAUAACCAGCCAGAGGGUCUGACUUGAAUCAGAGUGCGGAGGCCAGUGUUACUAAAUGCGUUUGCCACUUACUUGCUUCAGGAGUUGGGGGGUCUUGAGCCCUGCAUUUCUGCUGUGGUCCUAGAAGGUUCAUUGGGCCAUCUUUCUAGACAUCUCAGAGGGACGCUCACUUUUUUUUUUUUUUUUCGGAGCUGGGGACCGAACCCAGGGCCUUGCUCUUGCUAGGCAAGCGCUCUACCACUGAGCUAAAUCCCCAACCCCGGGACGCUCACUUUUAAGAGGUGCUAGGGCUCUGCUAUGAGAAGUGCAUCUUAAAGUGGCUCCAAGUAGGCUGUGUCUUAUAUUCCAGCUUGGUUGCAGGGGAGUCUUGUGGGCAAACCCAGCGGGCUGUAGGGGCUCUGUCCCAGCAGAGGACCAGGUUUGAAAAGCUAACCGGCACUGGAGAAGGCUUCCCUUGAGUGUAGUCCUGCCUCUGAGUUAAUCCUGCUCUCCACCCCUAACCCCUUCAAUUGUUCUUCCUUUACUAGACACCGACCGAGGUCAGCCUUAUUUCCCUCUGCUGUGGUUCUGCCAGUUUCUGCUUUCCUCACUCUAGAAUUUUCGACAUCAGAAUGUGCUCAGGGGCUAUCUAGCUCAUUAGUAGAAAGGGAAGCAGAGGCGAGGAAAAGGGGCUUCCCUAAAAUCUCCCAGGCUGUCUGCUACCUUUGUAGCUGCUGCUGAAGUCCCCAGCCUUCUGAGGGUACACAAACUCCCCCCAACACACACACAUACAGAGGGGGGGAAGGGAGGGAGGGAGAGGGGGAGAGGGGGAGAGGGAGAGGUGCACCCACAAUCCACAAUAGCCCUAAAGUCUUCUGGCCAUACCAGCCAUCUCGCCCUCGGGCUGGGACAUAUCACAAUGUCACAUAUAAACACACUAUCAGGAUAUCUGUAUACAUCACAUGCUCACAUAUCCAGUAGCACAUAGGUGUGCAGUAGUCAUAUACAUGUACUAGGUUGCUACUCAUCACACAGAGUGCCCACAAACAGUUCAUUCACAAACAUACAACUUUCCACACACAGCAUGCAGCACCGAACACACACAUACUACAUACACAAAUAAGAAUAAUCUAUGAACACGAGAACACUACAAAGCUUGGCCAUCAACAUUGACCAGACCAGGGCACUAAGUCAGUCCCAUUAUCAAAACUGUGGGAUGGCAGUGGGAGCUUUAUGUGCGGCACACAGGAGCCCGGGGAAGGGUAAGACUUUCCCUCAGAAGGCUGGGGAUCAAGGCAAUGGUGGCCAAGAGCUGACUUGUCCUUAGCUCCCCUGACACCAGAGACACCACAGUCAAAGCCAUUCCGGGUGGCCUCUGUGCUCCAAGAAGCAAGCCAACAGUCUCCAAACAUUUUCAUGAAUAGUACUUCAGCUGGCUUCCGGUUGAAUGGGAGUGGGAAGCAAUUAGGAAUUACAAUAUAGACCUCAGAUUGCACCCCAGCACCAUGCUGACACCUGAAUCCCUGGCACCUGGGGAUCACCGGAAGUAGAGGCGAGAGUGUGCUAGGAGUGUGUGAGCGCCUGUUGCAGAAAUGCUAAUGUCAACACAGUCCAUUUGGGACUCCAGCAGAAUUUUCCUGGUUCUGUUUCGAGUUGUGUGAUCUUGAGUGAGUUCCUUAAAUUCUCCUGUACUUAGUUUUCUUAAUCAUAAAAUAGGAAUAAUAUAACCACACAAGAUCAUCUAUAUUCUCCAUGGUCAGGAUUAAUAUCUCAGAUUUUUGAGCCAAGGCUCAAACGGAAGUUGCUGGAAAGCACUGAGCUAAUCCCCAGACCCAGACAUCCCCUGCUCAGAGUCAGUAUGGCACUGGCUGCAGAAAUCCUGUAAGAGAAGAGUGAGCUCCCUUGACUCCUAGGGACUGAUGGGGGCCAGGAGCCAGUUCUAGGUCUCCUGAAGCCCAGCCCGUGGCCCCUCCCAACUACUUCGACCUGGUGGGUGAAGAACAGGGCACAGGUCAGGCAGGGCACCUCAACCUAGGUGGGAUGGAGCAGUGCUAAGGGGGAGAUGCCGAAACCUUGGCUUGAGAGUCAGAGGGGAUCCAGACCAAGCCUGCCUUCCCUGCAGCCCAGUCUCCCACUUCCGUGAAAAGGAGAAUUUUAUCAUCCUCCCUUGGAUGCUUGGUAAGUGGUUUAUCAUCGUUAGGGCCAUUAACUUCUCUCCUUCCCUAUUCACCCCCUUCCCUGCCAAGAGUUCCUCAAAGGUCACUGUCAGAAGGCCUGUGCUGGACACCUAGGCCUUGGGCUCCAAUUCAAUGGGGACAGGACUCCCAGCAUGGCAGGGCAGGACAGCAUGUCACACUCUUGCUGCUAGGAGCACUUGUGCUGUCCUUCUCUGACACCAGAGUGAUAGUUUAUCUGGUCGGUCAAGUCCACCUUGCAGACAGCUUGCUGCUACUCACAACUUUGCAGCCUCACCCUGCAUGUGCCUUACCCAGGGAGGCACCAGCUGUAGUUCAGACUGUCAUGCUGGACCCCCCCCCACACACACCCACACACUGACCCCUCUAUUCACUUCUGCUAAAGCCUUGGAUAUGGUGGGGUCUGGAUGGCUGUUUCCAGACAACAGGUAGGAGAGCUGCAGAACUCAGCACUGGUUUCCUCUCUCUCUCUCUCUCUCUCUCUCUCUCUCUCUCUCUCUCUCUCUCUCAAGCUAGACAACCUCCAAGGGCCUCUCUGGCUCUAGAACCCAAGUCCUAACUCUAUAGCAAAAGAUGAAUCAGGGAUAGGAUGCAGGGAGGAAAGAAAAGAAAGAAGAAAGGGAGGGAUAGGGAGGGGAAGGAAAGGACACAGGGACACAGUUAUUCUUCAUCUCCUGACUCCUAGAGAUUCCCGAUCUCAAGCCUGGAUGAACCUGGCAGACACCAGACACCUUCACUGAGGGACACAGAGUUGUGCUUUGACAAAGGUCUGUGUAGGGAGCAGAGGAACAUGCAUCUGAGCAGAGGGGUUCAGCUUAGGAUGCCUCGAGGUCAAACCUCCUAGACAUAGGAGAGGUACACUAAGUAGCCACCAUGUCACCAAAUCCCCCUGGGCCUGGGGCUCACACUGAUUUCCUCUGCUUACCUGCUGUGGGACUCGGAGGAAGUGGCGCCACCUGAUCUUUCCUUCAUCAUUCGCAAUGGGGAAACAGCAGCCAGCGCCCUCUGAAGGCUUCUGGGAGAUAAUCAAAUAGGAGGUGUGUGUGUGUGUGUGUGUGUGUGUGUGUGUGUGUGUGUGUGUUCCUCUAUAUGUGUGCGACCCACUACACACACAUCCCAGACCUGUCUCUGAGUGAGCCCACCAAGCCCCAGGCCUGCAGAGAGGUUGUGCAAGAGGCCUGCAAACCUGGUUCUGCCCACCGCCUGGGAGGGGCCUGUCCUCCUCUUCAGGGCCACAGGGGAGGUGUUAUUAUUCUCUAGCACCCCAGGAUAGGGUGGGGAGAGGCUGCUUUCCUGGGUGCACAUGACAAAGCACUGCCCGUCAUGUCUGCUGAGCCGUCACUUCUGAAAGCCACUUUCAGCGCUCAUUGUUGAAUGGCCACGGUGGCUGUGCAGGAGACAAUGCUUGUGUUUUUUAGGCCUCUGUCAGUUCCCAGAGAGAAGCUGGACCACGUCUGGUGCACCUACAAGGAGCUCUGGGCAGGAGACUUGAGCAGCUGAGACCUGGAGGAAGAGUUGUUACCAUCAUUCUCUGAAGCUACCCAGCCUUGGCCUUGCUCUUGCUCCUCCUUUGGGAAUUGACUGUGACAGCCCCAGGUAGAAAUUCCAGUCAGAGACCUUUCCCCUCUGGUCUAUGUGUCAGUCCCAGAGAAGGGGCUGGCUGACUGCUUGGUCACGUGUCCUCUGAGUGAAAGUUGGUGAGAAAAUGCUGGGAAGGACCAGGAGCUCCUGUUACCAGAAGAGGACCAGGAAGCACGGAGCCACCAGGCAUGUGUCUGGGUGCAGUUUCUUCUGCCAUCAAGACUCUGCUUCCACACUUUGAGUAAAAGCCAGUGUGUCAGUCUGGGCCUAGCUUAAAGAUACAGAGUGGAGGCUCGAGGGUAGACAGCUAAGGACUGAAUCCUGUGAAAUCAUGAGCUGAAAUAAAUCUCCCUUCCAUGA